AGGAGGCGGAGUUUCGCCAUUCGUUCUGUUUGGGGGCGCUUUUAAGCUUCCCUCCUUCGGCCUUCCACCGCGGAGAGUGCUGUCCUUUUGUUUCCUGCCCCGCCCUCGUUGCAGACUCGCGCAGCUCCAGCGGGAGAAGUGCGGGCCUCGCGUCCGGUUCGACGCCGGGCUCCUCCUGCGUGAUCCGAUGUGGGCUGGAGACAGGAAAAGACGGGCCGCCCUUCCCGCAGCGUUGCUCUCCUCGGCCUCUUUGCGCCUAAUACUAACACAUUUGCUUGAACACCUAAUGAUGUGUCAAGUGACGUGCCAGUUUUUUCAUUUUUUUGUUUUUUGGUGUAUUUUUUGGCAUUACCAUCGUGACCUGAGAAUCUAUGUCUCCCACACAUUUUGCCUGGUACCUUGCCUUUGACGUCUCCAGUGUGGAGAAAGCUCUUCCCUCACCUCUCAACUCUGGGACUCAGACCCCCAGAUUGGCACAGCCUUAUUACCUGUUUUGAAAAUUAAUUAAAGAGAAGCGACCUUCCCCCAAAGAUAGGAAAUUGCUAAGGGACAAAAAGCAAAAAGAAAAGAUGCGUGGGAUGAAGCCCUAAAGAAACCAGGAACAAGCUUCCAAACUGUUUUCCUCCAGUAAAUCACACAGGAUGUGGUUUCUUCGUACAGCAACAAGUUUUGACAGCAUGUUUGAAAAGCUGUCUACUAGGGGAGCUCAUUAGAGACUCAGUCCCCGAAGUCUUUAACGACAGUCGGUCUUAUAGACACCAUCUGCUCGGCGUGUGCCCAAAUCCCAGACCCCCAAAAGGAAGAGUCCUUUAGCUUCCAAUGGAGUCAACAGCACUACGAGUGAACACCUGAUUCAUUCAUUCAUUCAAAUGGUCAACAAACAGUAAUUGCUCACCUUUUAUAUGACAGACACCAGCUCUAUGAGAGUUGUGAACUGGGCCUAGAAACAUGAAGAUAUAUUAACAUUCUCAAAGUACGUAGAAUUUCUACAGAAUCUAUUAAGUGCUUUUUUUUUUUCCCAUUGAGGAAAGAUGGGGUAACUAUCCAGGUAAACAUGAUGUAUUAACCACCGUUUUUUGUCUCCAUUUCCUCUCAAAACCUCAUUACAAUAUAAAGAUUUUGUUAAAGACAACAAAAUCCUCAGGGACAAUGCUAAAAGAAAAGGCAAUAAGAAUGGAAAGAGAGAUGUGAACACAGAGUUGGCAACUGGAAAACAGAUAGCCAGCGAUGAGUGACUCAGAGACUGGGUGUGGGGUGCAGAGAGGAUGCAGGAAGCUAACAGACUGGCCCUAUAGAGCUCCUGAAAGGCACAGGAUUGGAGACACCAGGAACUGCUCCAGAGCCGGGGUGUUGGGUAAAAGUCUGUACUAAAUGCAGGGAGAUCCUUAGAUUCCUUCCCCACCCUACCCCAUGAGGCAUCUCCCUCAUCCAAAAGAAAACAUACUUGAGAAGGAGAUUGAGGGCCAGUCAGCAUGCUGAAUGAACGGUGAGAACCACUAGUAACUUUUCCCCCCAAUGCAUCUGAGAAUCCUGGUGGCCUAGCUUAGACAGCUGAGGCAGCAGCCUAGAAGUUUCCUCUGUAGGGGAACUGAGUUCUUCAAAGAAAAAACUUAUAGACAAUGAAUAUUGGGAAUCCUAAUCAAACAUAGAAAUUCAGAGAAAACCGAGACAGCACAAAGAGCAGCAUAAACUGUCAGGAAAAUCAUAAUAUCUUCAGGGAAGUAAUAAAAGAUAAUUUUAUCAACAACAAAAAAAUAGGCUCAUAGAAAAAAAUGAGUUCUCAGUUUUAAAAAAUAUAAAAACAGAAAAAAAUUUUCAAUAGAAUCCAAGCAUGCUUUAAGGGGAACUACCUGAGGAUGUACUCCACCAAAAUGGGGGAAUAAACCAGGAAAAAAGAAGACACAGGAUUCAAGAAAAAGGAAUCCAAUGCAAGGAAAUUAGAUGACACAUCAGAGCAGGAGGCCAGUGGGCUCCAGAGGGGAUAUGUUAAAAAUUAAAAAAUCAACAGAGUACUUGACAUAUUUGAACUAUUCUUUUAAAGAUUGAUUUAUUUAUUUUAGAGGGAGAGACAAAAAGUGGGGGGAGGGGCAGUGGGAGAGAAUCUUCAAGAAGACUCCCCACUGAGCACAGAGCCCGAUGUGGGCUCGAUCCCACGACCCAUGAGACCAUGACCUGAGCUGAAACCAAGAAUUGGACACUUAACCGACUGAGCCAUCCAGGCACCCCAAAUUUGAACUAUUAAGAGAAAAUUAACAGUUUUGGCAAAGAGUUGGAGGAGCAUUAAGGAUAGGUAUAAAUCAAAACCUAAGAUAAUAUUGAACUCCAGGGAGGAAAAAAAAGUUGUAUAACAAAGGAAACAUUACUAGUGCAUGCUGCAUGCCUUAGCUGGGUAUGAUAUUUACAAUAAUCACAACAGUGUUAACUUUGAAUACUGAUUUAACCAAAUAUUAUGAUAUAUUUAUGUUGGAAGAAUGAGGAGAACAAGGGUGCUAAAUCUUCAUCUUUCAUAAGAAGAAGUCAAGAGUCUAUAUCUAAGUCUGAAAAGAAUACGGAAGCAUAUUAUUCAGACACAUGGAAGAAAGAUCCAGAAGAAGCAGCUUAGCCAGUUGAAAGUGACACUUCCGUGUCUCUGAUGAGUAGGGCCAUGUGGGAAAUGGUAGUCUGUCAGACCACAGGGAAUUUUUCUGGUCAACAAAUCCCAGACUUUUGUGAUUCUUUCUCCCUAUUUCACUGGGUUCAGCCAGAGUCCUCCCUUGAGGUUUGCCAAGUGUAAGCUCUAAGGAACACACAAACACACACAAUGAACUUCAUUUGAACUUUGUUCAUCCUUUUUUUCUGAGCCAAAAGUGUCAAAACAAAUAGGGGAAGAGCCAGAGCCCACACAGAUAGGUGGGGUGUUAGUACAGCAGGUCUAAUCCCUGAGCCUCUUGCAUCUAUGUUUCCUAUAGACAUGAAGAACUGUGAGUGGCUUCACUAGCCACCCCAAAUACCAGCCCAGAUUCUCUGAUGAACUCUACACCCAAAUACAUAACCAUCUAAUGGACAUUUAUCUAUACUUGGCUGUCCUACACGUAACUCAAAUUCAACAGGUUCAAACUGAAUCAAUCAUCUUUCUAUCUUCUCCAAAUCUGCUCUUCUUCUGUGAGCUCUAGGUCAGGGAAUGGCAUCUCCGUUCACCCAGCUGUUAAUUCUAGGAGCCUGCAGCUUCAUCUUGACUUCCCCCACCUCUCAUCCAACAUAUCCAUCUCCUCCCCCCUAUAUAUAUAAAUGUUUGAAUGAAUGAACAACAAAUGAACCCAUUAUUUUUCAUACAUUGUGAAUGCCUAUAAACUAGGACCAACACUGUUUUGCCUCUAAUGCUUCUUUCCGAUUCACUCAGAUUUAAUGGCCUGUUGUGUGUUUUAUAUGAAGUGGGCACCUCUAAUGUACCAGGAACAUUCCUGCCUUCAAAGAUUACAAUCUGUUUGGGGAGGCAAAAUGUGAAUAAGCAAGUUUAAACGUACAGCCACAGACAGCUGAGCAGUGGGUGCAAAGAAGCUACUAUGGGAUUUGAACUCAUAGCCUGAGUAUGGGUCCGGUUCAGGGAGGUGUGACUUUCCCAGUCCUGGGUGCAAAGUCCCUAGGGUGGUUUCCAAGCAUUUUGCUAACAGUGAAAAUGGGAAGAUGGGAAGAAAGUGUCAUACCAAGUAAGGCUCUUGUUGACAAAAGUCAGCAAAGCACAGAUUUGGUUGGUAUCCCACAAGCAUUCUCAUCUUUGCUUUAGUACUUUCACUCUAAAGAAUAAAAAUAGCAGUUCCUCUGGUGAUGAAAUCUCACCAGUCUUUCUUUCCUGCCAUGAGAGAGGGACUACUGUUUGCCUGCUCUGCUCACUCCAUGACUGCAGAUGUCAAUUGAUUUCCCUCAUUUGGGUAUUUCUUCCCAUUGGAACAAUGAUCAAACCAUUUUUUUAAAAGACUGUAUUUAUUUAUUUGACACAGAUUGAGAGUGAACACACAAGCAGGGGGAGCAGCAGGCAGAGGGAGAAGCAGACUCCCUGCUGAGCCCGAUGCAAGGCUCAAUCCCAGGACCCUGGGAUCAUGACCUGAGCCAAAGCCAGAUGCUUUACUGACUGAGCCACCCAGGUGCCCCAAAUGAUCAAACCAUUAUACAGGAGUAGCUAAGAGAAUUUUCACUGCUUUGGGCUCCCUUUGGUGUUUUCUAAUUCUGGAACUCUAUGUCUUAACUCCUAUGUUCUCCUGUGGCAUCCCAUUCACUGCCAGCCCCACCAAUUCACAUGAGGGUAGCCCCUUCCAUGUUCUAGGAGGAAUAUCCUAAUAGAGCAGAAUUCUUGUCUCACUCUGCACUUCAGAUUUAGAGGUUCAGACCUAUGUGCAUCCAAAACAGAGCCUGGCUUAGAGAAGUCCCUGGGUAAGUAUUUUUAGAUGAAUGAAAAAUCAGAACCUUUCAUCUGAUGGUCAUAAGGCUAUCUUACCACAAUAUGAGAGUAAACCAGCAGAACAGCAGUGGAGAUGAAGAAAAGCAACAGAAUUUAACAGUCUUUAAGGAGACAGAAUAUAUAGGGGGGAGGAGAUGGAUAUGUUGGAUGAGAGGUGGGGGAAGUCAAGAUGAAGCUGCAGGCUCCUAGAAUUAACAGCUGGGUGAACGGAGAUGCCAUUCCCUGACCUAGAGCUCACAGAAGAAGAGCAGAUUUGGAGAAGAUAGAAAGAUGAUUGAUUCAGUUUGAACCUGUUGAAUUUGAGUUACGUGUAGGACAGCCAAGUAUAGAUAAAUGUCCAUUAGAUGGUUAUGUAUUUGGGUGUAGAGUUCAUCAGAGAAUCUGGGCUGAAGGCAAGGAUUUGUACAGUAUCAGCACAAAGAUGGUAACAAAAUGAGAUGAGAGUGUGUAAAAGGAGAAAAGAAAAUAAGGACAAACCCCUGAGGAGCACCCAUAUUUAAAAGCAAGAUUAAAAAGGCGGGGGGGAUCUAUAGCAUAGAUUGAGAGGAAACAGCCAGAGAGGUGGGAGAAAAUCCAGGAGUGUGGAGUCACAGAAACAAGAGAGCUAGAGUUGUAGGUGUGGGUGGACACCAUUGUCCAGUGAUGCUGAGAGAUUAUGCAGCAUAAAGGUCGAAAAGUAUAUGUUGGACUUAGCAGCAAAGCAGUUGUUUUGAGUUGCAUUGCGUCCCCCAAAUUCAUAUGUUGUUUAACCCCUAGUACCUCAGAAUUUGACUGUGUUUGGAAAUAGGAUCUUUAAAGAGAUAAGUUAAAAUGAGGUCAUAUGGGUAGACUUUAAUCCAAUAUGGCUGUUUUCCUUAUAAAAAGAUAUUAGGACACAGACACACACAGAAGGAAGGCUAUGUGAAGACACAGGGAGAAGACAGCCAUCUAUAAGCCAAGGAGAGAGGUCUCGGAAGAAACUGACCCCUCCAACACCUUGAUCUUAGGCUGCCAACUUCCAGAACUAUGAGAAACUAAAUUUCUAUUGUGUGAGCCACCCUGUCUGCGGUAUGUUGUGGUGGCAGCCCUUGCAAACAAACACAGCAGUCAUGGUGACUUUGAUGAGAGGAGAUGCUUUGAGAGUAGCAUGAAUGGGAGUUCAGGUGGCAGGAACCAAGGAGUGAGCAGGUGUGAGGAAAUGUCCAACAAUUACAGGAAAUGAUUUCAAAAUUCUGUCUGUGAAGGGAAAGAGCAGGUCUGGGUGAUACCUGAAGGAAGCUGUGGGUCAGUGGAGGGGAGUUGACUAGUUAGUUGUUGGAUUCGUUAGUUGAUUUUAAAGUGAUAUAACUAGUCAUUAAUAGCUCUCUAACUGAAGAGUCAGAGCACACUUCAAGAAGGUGAGUUUAACAUUCCAAGGCUAGAGUUUAACCAAGACCAAGCUAACACAUCCAUUUUGGUCAGGUCCCUAGAGCAGCACUCUCCAAUAAAGUAGCCACUGGGUGCAUGUACU